ACUCCUACGGGAGGCAGCAGUGGGGAAUAUUGCACAAUGGGCGCAAGCCUGAUGCAGCCAUGCCGCGUGUAUGAAGAAGGCCUUCGGGUUGUAAAGUACUUUCAGCAGUGAGGAAGGUGGGUAUGUUAAUAGCAUAUUCAUUUGACGUUAGCUGCAGAAGAAGCACCGGCUAACUCCGUGCCAGCAGCCGCGGUAAUACGGAGGGUGCGAGCGUUAAUCGGAAUUACUGGGCGUAAAGCGCAUGCAGGUGGUUUGUUAAGUCAGAUGUGAAAGCCCGGGGCUCAACCUCGGAAUUGCAUUUGAAACUGGCAAACUAGAGUACUGUAGAGGGGGGUAGAAUUUCAGGUGUAGCGGUGAAAUGCGUAGAGAUCUGAAGGAAUACCGGUGGCGAAGGCGGCCCCCUGGACAGAUACUGACACUCAGAUGCGAAAGCGUGGGGAGCAAACAGGAUUAGAUACCCGGUAGGCUCUG
rnacentral:rRNA from 1 species